rnacentral:rRNA from 1 species
UACGAAGGGGGCUAGCGUUGCUCGGAAUCACUGGGCGUAAAGCGCACGUAGGCGGCUUUUUAAGUCAGGGGUGAAAUCCUGGAGCUCAACUCCAGAACUGCCUUCGAUACUGGGAAUCUUGAGUUCGGGAGAGGUGAGUGGAACUGCGAGUGUAGAGGUGAAAUUCGUAGAUAUUCGCAAGAACACCAGUGGCGAAGGCGGCUCACUGGCCCGAUACUGACGCUGAGGUGCGAAAGCGUGGGGAGCAAACAGG